CACGCCGUAAACGAUGAGUGCUAGUUGUCGGCAUGCAUGCAUGUCGGUGACGCAGCUAACGCAUUAAGCACUCCGCCUGGGGAGUACGGUCGCAAGAUUAAAACUCAAAGGAAUUGACGG
rnacentral:rRNA from 1 species